ACUGAGUUUGGUGGUGUGCACCUGUAGUCCCAGCUACUCAGGAGGCUGAAGCAAGAGGGGCGCUUGAGCCUAGGUGCUCUGGACUGUCGUGAGCUAUGUCUACCUGGUGUCUGCAUUAAUCAUGGCAUCAAUAUGGUGACCUCCCAGCAUCAAGGGACCACCAGAUUGUCUAAGGAGGGGUGAACCAGUCCAGGUUGGAAACGGAGCAGGUCAAAACUCCCGUGCUGAGCAGUCAUGCAAUCGCACCUGGAAUAGCCACUGCACUCCAGCCUGGGCAACACAGUGGGAGCCCAUAUCUU
rnacentral:SRP_RNA from 10 species